rnacentral:misc_RNA from 1 species
AAGUCGUAACAAGGUUUCCGUAGGUGAACCUGCGGAAGGAUCAUUAGAUUGAAUUAUCAUUGUUGCUCGAGUUCUUGUUUAGAUCUUUUACAAUAAUGUGUAUCUUUACUGAAGAUGUGCGCUUAAUUGCGCUGCUUCUUUAGAGUGUCGCAGUGAAAGUAGUCUUGCUUGAAUCUCAGUCAACGCUACACACAUUGGAGUUUUUUUACUUUAAUUUAAUUCUUUCUGCUUUGAAUCGAAAGGUUCAAGGCAAAAAACAAACACAAACAAUUUUAUUUUAUUAUAAUUUUUUAAACUAAACCAAAAUUCCUAACGGAAAUUUUAAAAUAAUUUAAAACUUUCAACAACGGAUCUCUUGGUUCUC